rnacentral:rRNA from 1 species
AGAGUUGAUCCUGGCUCAGGACGAACGCUGGCGGCGUGCCUAAUACAUGCAAGUCGAGCGGGAUUAUAUCAGAAGCUUGCUUCUGAUAUAAUCUAGCGGCGGACGGGUGAGUAACACGUAGGCAACCUGCCCACAAGGCUGGGAUAACUACCGGAAACGGUAGCUAAUACCGGAUACAUCGUUUCCCUGCAUGGGGAGAUGAGGAAAGGCGGAGCAAUCUGUCACUUGUGGAUGGGCCUGCGGCGCAUUAGCUAGUUGGUGGGGUAAUGGCCUACCAAGGCGACGAUGCGUAGCCGACCUGAGAGGGUGAUCGGCCACACUGGGACUGAGACACGGCCCAGACUCCUACGGGAGGCAGCAGUAGGGAAUCUUCCGCAAUGGGCGAAAGCCUGACGGAGCAACGCCGCGUGAGUGAUGAAGGUUUUCGGAUCGUAAAGCUCUGUUGCCAGGGAAGAACGUCUUGUAGAGUAACUGCUAUGAGAGUGACGGUACCUGAGAAGAAAGCCCCGGCUAACUACGUGCCAGCAGCCGCGGUAAUACGUAGGGGGCAAGCGUUGUCCGGAAUUAUUGGGCGUAAAGCGCGCGCAGGCGGCUCUUUAAGUCUGGUGUUUAAUCCCGAGGCUCAACUUCGGGUCGCACUGGAAACUGGGGAGCUUGAGUGCAGAAGAGGAGAGUGGAAUUCCACGUGUAGCGGUGAAAUGCGUAGAUAUGUGGAGGAACACCAG